CAGGCACCAGCCCUCAACUUCAAAGGGGACUGCUGGGCACUCUGCACUCUGCCAGGCGCCAGCCCUCAACUUCAAAGAUUUCAGCCCCAAUCACUUAGAAACAUAAAACCCCUCAACAUACAAUAGAUUCAACUCAAGAACACAACCGGAAACAUAUCCCUCAUCAACAAGAACUUCAACAACACAACCAACAACUUCAACAACCAAAAUAAAUCUUUU
rnacentral:lncRNA from 1 species